CCUAGCUGCUAUAGACGCUCCAUCUGUAAAUGGAUAAGACGUUAGUCUUAUUGUUUGUAUAAGAGUUAUUGAAAAAUAAAGGGGCAAUAAUUUCCUUCUUGUUCUAUUAAGAUAAGAGGGACUUAUUGCUCCUUUAUUUAUUUUUUUUUUUUAAUUUUAAAGAUUUAAAUAAAAUGUUCGAAUAUGAAAUAAAAAAAUAGAGUAUAGGGGCGGAUGUAGCCAAGUGGAUCAAG
rnacentral:misc_RNA from 1 species